CCUACGGGGGGCAGCAGUGGGGAAUAUUGGACAAUGGGCGCAAGCCUGACCCAGCAACGCCGCGUGAAGGAAGAAGGCUUUCGGGUUGUAAACUUCUUUUGUCGGGGAAGAGUAGAAGACGGUACCUGCCGAAUCAGCCACAGCUAACUACGUGCCAGCAGCCGCGGUAAUACGUAGGUGGCAAGCGUUGUCCGGAUUUACUGGGUGUAAAGGGCGUGCAGCCGGAGAGAAAAGUCAGAUGUGAAAUCAACGGGCUCAACCCGUGAACUGCAUUUGAAACUGUUUCCCUUGAGUGUCGGAGAGGGAAGCGGAAUUCCUGGUGUAGCGGUGAAAUGCGUAGAUAUAAGGAAGAACACCAGUGGCGAAGGCGGAUUACUGGACGAUAACUGACGCUGAGGCGCGAAAGCGUGGGGAGCAAACAGGAUUAGAUACCCGAGUAGUC
rnacentral:rRNA from 1 species